CCUUGGUCAACAAGUUAACCACAUAUUGAUAGCUUACAAAACAAGCUAACUAUAUGGCACACAUAUUAAAAACUUGUCUUACAAGUUAAGAUACAUAUCUUAUAAAGUUUUAUAGGUCCUAUAAGCCAUUGCUAUAUAGCUCCUAAUUGAGAAUAUAUAUGUGUCACAGACACAAAAUACAGACUUGAAAUCUAAUAAGAAGUUCAAGAAGAAGUGGCAGAACUAGAUUAAACAGAUGAGUACAAGAACAACACCAGAAAGGUGAGCUAGAACUCCAAGAGAUGUG
rnacentral:lncRNA from 1 species